CCAGUGUGUAUUUUCCGGUGUGUAUUAAGGGUUGCAAAAUGGGUAAAUGCUUUGCCACACUCAUUACAUUUGUAAGGUUUCUCUCCAGUAUGAGUUCUCUCAUGACCCCAAAGGUCUGAACGUUUGAUAAAAGCCUUAUCACACUUACUACAUUUAUAAGGUUUUUCUCCCGUAUGAAUUCUCCGAUGUGCCAUAAGGCUUGAACUUUGGUUAAAAGCCUUGUCACACACGUUACAUUUGUGUGGUUUCUCUCCAGUGUGUAUUGUCUGAUGCCUAGUAAGGUUUGCACAUUGGGUAAACGCUUUGCCACACUCGUUACAUUUGUAAGGUUUCUCUCCAGUAUGGAUUUUCUUAUGUCGAGUAAGAUUUGAACGGUCUGUAAAGGCUUUGCCACAGUCAUUACAUUUGUAAGGUCUCUGUCCACAAUGAAUUCUCUCAUGACUCAUGAGAUUUGAGCUUUUGCUAAAAGCCUUCCCACAGUCAUUACAUUUGUAAGAUUUUCCUCUAGCAUAACCUCUCCUGUAUUGUGCAGGUAAUAAAGGGUAUUUUAAAAUCUUCCUAGAUUUAUUCCAAAUGUUUUUGGUACUGGGAGGAAUUCCUUGAAGUGAUGAGACUGAGGAACCAUUGCUGACAGACUUCUCAGUUGGAUUACAUUCAUACAUUUUCUCCUCACUGUGAAAUCUCUGCAGUUCAGCCCGAUGUGCCUGCAAACUUAAUCCAAUUCUAUUUUCCAAGCAGUUUACGUACUGGUUUCCAGCACCAAUUCUGUUAUUGUCUAGUUUUAACAAAGUCCUUAUAAAUGGCUCACCACCCAUGAAAUACUGGUAUGUAUUAUUUCUUACAGAAACACUCUGCUUUUCAGGAAGAGUAACUGAGGACUGAUUAAGUUGCUGGUCUUUUCUACAAAUGAGAUUUUUGUUAUGGGUCAAAGGCACUUUAUAAUUUCUUGUAUCAUAUCCCCAAUGACUUUCAAACUCAUGCAUAUCUUCCCAGACUUCCUGGAGAUCAAAAUCCUUGAUUUCAUGACUUCCAUUUCUCUCCAAUAUCACCAAGUGGUAAAAUUCUCCUUUAUUAAUAUCCUCUGUUGGUGAUAAUUCCUUGAUUGCAAAUCCAUCGGAAGGGAUUCCUAUUAAAGAGAGUUGGAAGGUAAAUAUUUUAUACUGAAUUACAUAAUUACACAACCAAAUAAUACUUUAUACUGAACACAGUAAGUUUUUCAAGGAUGGUCUUCAAACACUAUCGUAAUAAUCAAUGUUUUUAAGUUUGCUUUUUAUAAAUUUUUCCAUAUUAAUAAUUUCUCUGAUUUUAAGGUAAUUUUUCCAAACACACAUUAUACACUAUCCAUAUUUUUUGGCCAUAUAACUGGAUAAUGAAAUGAUACUUCAUGAUUACAGAGCUCAUCUAUACACUGGCUAUUAUAUAACUGUGCAUGAAAUCAUAGAGAUGUUUAUCUUCCUUAAUUCCUAAUCUUUAUAAAAAUGUAUUUAUCUCAAGCUGUUAUUUCAUAAUUCAGUGAUUCUCAACAUAUCUUUGAUUUCUCCUACUAUGUGUUCCUUAUGGAAUGUAAAUUCUGUCUUCAGUUUUCAAGGAAGAAUUCUUUAGAAUUCCAGAGACUAUUAUUUUGUGUAACUGUGAUUACUCACUAACUUAACCUGCUAGAUUAUCGAUUUUCAGAUUGUAAUACGCAGGUUUCUUAUAAUAGUGUCUUGUUCUUUUCAUCAUAUCCUCAUACAUUAUUAAACACACAUCAUUAUUAAACACCA